CACCGGCGGCUCGAGUGGUGGCCACUUUUAUUGGGUCUAAAGCGUCCGUAGCCGGCUUGGCAAGUCCCCUGGGAAAUCUGGCGGCUUAACCGUCAGGCGUCCAGAGGAUACUGCCAGGCUUGGGACAGGGAGAGGUGAGAGGUACCUCAGGGGUAGGGGUGAAAUCUUGUGAUCCCUGAGGGACCACCAGUGGCGAAGGCGUCUCACUAGAACGGGUCCGACGGUCAGGGACGAAAGCUGGGGGCACGAACCGG
rnacentral:rRNA from 1 species